CUGACCAGUAUUCUUCAAAAGUGCCGAGGGCUGCUGUAACAAAUUACCACAAACUGCGUGGCUUAAAACAACAGCAAUUUAUGGCCUCAUAGUUCUGCAGGCUGGAAGUCCCAAAUCAAGGUGUCAGCAAGGGAGGUGCUUCUUUCCACCCUCUGCAGACGGCACAGUUCUCCUAGACCAAUAGCUCAAAACCUUACCGUCAAUUUCAG